UACGUAGGGUGCAAGCGUUUGUCCGGAAUUAUUGGGCGUAAAGAGCUCGUAGGCGGUCUGUCGCGUCUGCUGUGAAAACUCGGGGCUUAACCCCGGGCCUGCAGUGGGUACGGGCAGACUAGAGUGCGGUAGGGGAGACUGGAAUUCCUGGUGUAGCGGUGAAAUGCGCAGAUAUCAGGAGGAACACCGGUGGCGAAGGCGGGUCUCUGGGCCGAAAUUGACGCUGAGGAGCGAAAGCGUGGGGAGCAAACAGG
rnacentral:rRNA from 1 species